AAAUUGAAGAGUUUGAUCAUGGCUCAGAUUGAACGCUGGCGGCAGGCCUAACACAUGCAAGUCGAACGGUAACAGAAAGCAGCUUGCUGCUUUGCUGACGAGUGGCGGACGGGUGAGUAAUGUCUGGGAAACUGCCUGAUGGAGGGGGAUAACUACUGGAAACGGUGGCUAAUACCGCAUAACGUCGCAAGACCAAAGAGGGGGACCUUCGGGCCUCUUGCCAUCAGAUGUGCCCAGAUGGGAUUAGCUUGUUGGUGAGGUAACGGCUCACCAAGGCGACGAUCCCUAGCUGGUCUGAGAGGAUGACCAGCCACACUGGAACUGAGACACGGUCCAGACUCCUACGGGAGGCAGCAGUGGGGAAUAUUGCACAAUGGGCGCAAGCCUGAUGCAGCCAUGCCGCGUGUAUGAAGAAGGCCUUCGGGUUGUAAAGUACUUUCAGCGGGGAGGAAGGUGUUGUGGUUAAUAACCACAGCAAUUGACGUUACCCGCAGAAGAAGCACCGGCUAACUCCGUGCCAGCAGCCGCGGUAAUACGGAGGGUGCAAGCGUUAAUCGGAAUUACUGGGCGUAAAGCGCACGCAGGCGGUCUGUCAAGUCGGAUGUGAAAUCCCCGGGCUCAACCUGGGAACUGCAUUCGAAACUGGCAGGCUUGAGUCUUGUAGAGGGGGGUAGAAUUCCAGGUGUAGCGGUGAAAUGCGUAGAGAUCUGGAGGAAUACCGGUGGCGAAGGCGGCCCCCUGGACAAAGACUGAC
rnacentral:rRNA from 1 species